UUCUUAUUUAUUUUCCUUUCAUUGCAGGUUAGGAGAGAAUUCGUCGAUGAUGCAGAACAGGGGAGAAAUAUAAAAUUUGAGGACAAGUUUUGCAGCAUAAAGGUGUGGCAUCUGCGCCACGCAGAUGGUCUUUAUUUAUGCAUUGGCGUCAGGAGGUGGAGACGGCAUCAUAAAAUUGUCAGAUAUUUGUAUCUAUAAUCGCAAAAGUUGGCGAUUUUGUUUUGCUUUAACGGGGCCCGUCUCCUGGUUUACGUGUGCGUCAUCGGCAGGAUGAGGCCGGAUUUUUGUAUUUGCUGGUUUGCCUGUCCGAUUAUCAGGAAAUCAUUGAAGAAACGGUACUGAGGAAAUUUAUACAAUUUGGAGACGGAUUUUAAUUCUUUUUAAUAUGAUGUCAGCUCCGGGAUUGUGAUCCUUUUUAGUGCAGUGGCACCAGGAAGUGGAGACGGCGUUGUAAGAUUGUCAAUUAUUUGUGUUUAUAAUCACGAAAGAUGGCGAUUUUGUUUUUCUUUGCAGGGCUCGUCUUCUCUUGUUGGUUGCGUUGGAUCGCCAGUUGGCUGUGUUUAUUGAGGUUUUAGCGUCUCUUAUGUAGGCGCUCGUCGAUCUGAGAGAAUUUAAGAGUAGUGGAAAGGAUAGAUUCUGCAGCUCCGCGUUAAGUGCCCUGAACUAAGCGUGGGCAGCUUAUAUGGCCCGUCAAUUGCAGCGCAGCACUGCAAGUAGAUUGUAUCGGUGAUAAGGGAUACUACCAGGGACUGUGUGGCAAAGAAAGUUCAGGUAAGUGACGUUGUGCAUAAAUUGCUGCAGCGAGUCGCCUUUUAUUCAUCAUGUUUCUGCCACACUAAUCCUUUUCAUAUCGAUCUACCGCUUCAUCUUUUAUGUCCUGUUGAUUUUCUCCGCAUCGUUUAGUCAGGAUCAGCUGGAGUGCAUUGUCUUGGGCUUGCUCAUCCGGGUACUUUGAGAUGAGUUUGGCUGCGUCGAGGAAAGUGAUGACAGUGGAGGAGUUUGUGAGCAGACAGACGUGCGCUUUUUCGUCGAAUAUAGAUAUCGUUAAUAUAACUAUAAGUAGAUGUAGGAUUAAUUGGAUGUUUCCAUGUCAUGAUUGUUAUCUCUUCCUUGUAUGAUUAAGGCCAAUAAAAUGUCAAUUUUCUUC